GCUAGACACUGCUGUUCUCCCCUCGGUACCUGUGUUGGGUCCCUUUCAUUGUUCACCCCAGAGUUUUUAAUGUACAGCUAACACUGCUUUCAGAGAGACUUUUUAUUUUCCUACAAUGUGACAGCAUGGAGUGAGACACACAGUAUACCUGGGCAUACUAUACACCAGCUCAUGGGGCUGUGGAUUCUCCAGUAGGACACUAGCACUUUGUAACAAAAUACAAGAUGCAUUCCUAUCUCUGCUGCAAAGUUCUGGUUUGUUUUGUUUUCUGAAAUAAAACCUGUAAGAUACAACAUCUACCUUCUAUCCAGUGUCAAAUUAUUUUUUGUGGAUUGUUCUUGGCACAGCACAGUAAGAAAUUGAGCUCUAAUACAGUUGUAUUUAAAAUACACUUGUAAUUUCAUCAAGGCUUUAUUGGUUGUUUUGUGAUUGGAGAAUCAUUAGAUGUUCAGCAGAAGUGCACUGGCCCACAGUGUCGCUGCUGCAAGCCCAGCUGAAAUUCCAGGUGAAAAUCCAGCCUAUAUGAAGUACAAAAUACAAAACAUAUAUUCCAUCUAGAGCAGCACUUCAGCUUAUUUGUCAGCUUGUGAAACAAAAGGAACUAAUUGAAAUAGACUCAAAAAUCAAGCCAGUUGAGUCAGAAUGACAUUGCAGAAUACUAAGAGAAGGCAAGUGUUGCCAUCAAACAACAUCCAAUUUAAGAAAACAAAAAGGGUGGGAAAGAGAAAACCUGAGAUCCUGGGAGGAGUCCUUUCAAUCCAAAAGAAGUUUUUGGAGUACAUAUUUGGAAUACAAGUCUCAUCUAUGGCCCAGCAAAGGUUUCCCAGUUAGAGCAGACCAUCAGGCUUCAAUCUGAGUAUCAAUUCCCUUCUUUCCAAGGGUGGGUUCCCUUUAUACCUGGGCAGGACCACUGAGUUAUUAAAACACUCUGCUGUUUUUAGGAUGUAAGGAGAAUUUUGAGUCAAUAGUUUAGGAUACUGAGUUUUGGUUUUGGUGUCCAAUAAUAAUGGCUUUUGUAGUGGCUUUGGAGUUCAUGUGUUUUGAAAAACCAAUGUCAUUGAUUCAGGCAGCCUGCAGCACGCCCUUGGCAUCAAUCAGUGAUGUCAUUUGAAGCAAAUUCACUGCACAUCUCUCUCUUGACAGACAGACAAUUCCCUGUUACAUUCUGAGAUGAUUUUGGGACUCCCAGCUGUGGUGUUUGCCAUGAAGCUGGGCUCUGGCAGGGAGAGGUUCUUUCACUACAAACCUCUCCACUUCAGGAUGGCAAAAAGUUUGUCAGUGCCUCAACAACUUUGUGUGGGAUCUGUGCUUUGCCUGCAGGUGCUUAGAUUUUUGUCAUACAAAGUGAAACAAACCCAGCUGGGAACCUGAUGGUGAAGUUGGACCUUCAUGAGCUUCCAGGUUUCAGUAGGCGGAACAGAGACUGACAGGUUGUGGCAACAAGGCUGUGCUUGCUUUUGUUUUGAAGAGCAGUGUUUUCUAACAGAAGGAAGGUGGCAGGGAAAUUACCAUCACAGCAGAUAGACAAUUCAUUGUCUUCAAGAGGUUCCAAUUUCCAGAGUGAGGUUUGCCAAGUGGUCUGAAAAAAAAAAAAAAAAAGCAGAAAUUGCAGUUCAAGUCUGUGGCUUGGAAUGGAUGCUGUGUUUUGCUUCAGUGACUGCAGCAAUAACUUUUCAGCUGGAAGGAAUGGGUGAGCUGCUUAAGGGGUGAUGCAGCUCUGAACUGCCCUGUUCACUCCCAGGUGACAGAUGGAUUUGGCACAUGUGGAAGUGUUGCUAGUGAGUGCUUCCCUGCAAGUGCAUCAUAAAUAAUAUCAAGUGCUCAUCAUUAUUUCAAUUAGUAAUUAAGAAAAUUCUUCUUGCUGUCUUAAGAAAAUACACCGUGCUUGGCUGCCAGUUGUACACUGGGAAGUAAUGGGGGGAAGCAUUUGCUGUGUGACUGUUUAAUCUUGGUACAUAAUUUUUUUCCAAACAUCUUUGCUGGUAAUUGUUUAUAGUGCACCACAUUUAGGACAUAGUUAAUUGAGCUCUGGGAUCUUUCAAAGUGAAGGUAACUACUUAUUUCUCAUGCAGAAAUCCAUGCCAGCAAGAAAAUCACUUAGGGAUGAAGGGUUGCAUUUUUUAAUUAACUAAUUUAUGAGGAUAUUGCUCAUUAUAUGUUUCAUGGGUGAGAAUCUUGAAAACACCAUAAUACAAAAGAGUCAAUAUAGAAACAGUAGCUUCAUAUUCAUGGGUUCUGUUAAUCUACAACUAAUUUAAAUAACCUAGACAGAAAAAUAGGCAUUUCCUGUUCCACAUCAACACGGUGGUUCUCUAGUUGAAGGCCAAGGGUUGCCAGCAACGAUUUAAAAGCCUCUUUAAUGAUGAGAUAAAAAUGUAUUCUUAAAUAGAAAUUUCUGAGCUUUUAGACCACUCAGAAAAUACUCAGUGUGCUUUGCAAGAUGAGUAAUUUUUUAGUACUUUUGAUAGAUAAAACCACAAACAAAUCUCAGCCACUGGAAAUCCAUUUCCAUCAAGAUACAAGGGACAUAAACAGCAUAAAAGCUGUUUAAAAAAAUAACUGGUUGGGUUUUUUGUCCCACUAAAAAUGCUUUAUAUUUGGUAGAGACAGAUCUCUUCCCUGGAUGGUUUUCUUUAUGUUGUUGCAAGAAGUUGGGAACACCAAGCUUCACUUGCAAAUCUUUCACCUUUCUUUUCAAUUAUCUUGCCUUUCUCUUUUUUUGAGAGGCUGAACACUUGGUUGACAUCAAUAGCAAAGCAUGCCACAGAUUUUCAGUGGGAUGGACAGUAUCCCACACCUUCCCAAGCUACUGAUAACUCUGAAAAACCUGCAGUGUUUUUUUUAAUUAGUAUUUUAACAACAGUUUUCCUGAGCUAUGGCUGAGUGCCAAACACAGCUUCUGCAAAAAGACAGGCACAGGGGGUGGGGUCCUGCUGGGAAGUGGAUAGAGCAGCAAAUCUGGGCUCCACGGGCCUUUCUUGCACCCCAGCUCUCUGUAGGAAAGCCCACCGGUGCCAGACUGGUUUUUGAAACCUGAUAAAUUAUUUCCUCCUCCUAACAGUUUAUUUUGUGAAUAGAUUCACAGUGUAUGGGAAGGUGGCCUGGUUCAUUUUUUAGUGCAUGGCUUAAACUCACUUUUUUUUUUUUUUUUUAAGCCAAACCAAACCCCAUUCACUCAUAUUAGACCUAAAACAUUCACAAGAGCUCAUGCUAAGCCUUAACUUGCAAAAUAAAACUCAACACAUUUCUAAAUUUCUUUAUUAUCUUAUUCUUAAUUUCUUCCUUUAUUCUGUCUUAGGAAAAGACAACCCCCAGACAAUUACACUUAUUUUUUUCUCCAUAAUUACGGAAGAAAUCAUCAAACAAACCUAAUAGUGGCUUUUGCAGUUACCUUGCUGAUCCAGCCUUGCCUAAGCAGUGUGGGCAGGCUGUGGGGUCAGACAUGCAGCAUUAUGGCUUUUCCCUGCAUCCACAGGGAUGGGACAAGGGAUGCAGGUGCUGCAGGCAGCUGCAGCUCCAGUUGCACCUGUGGGAUUCACACAGCCCAGGGCUCUUGGGCUGCACAUCUUGUCAGUUUGUAAAAUACCAUUUUAAUUUCUGUCUCUCUCACCUGCUGGUGUUGGAAAGCUGCUGUAGGCACUUUGCACAGCAGGGGUUGUGUUGGGACAGUUCCCUGCAGGUUUGUUACAGGCAGAGAUUGGCACUGGAAGCACCUGACACUUGCUGUUGUAAACUUCAUCCAUCUCCUUGAAAUACUGUUGUGAUGGUGGUUGUCUCAAGGCUCUGUGCACAUGGAGUAAUUGCUGGUGUAAAGACUUUUUUAUCCUCUCGUUAUUGUUACUGAGCACUGCUUUCAUCCAGAAACAUGAAUUGGGGAAGGAUGCCACAGACUUUCACCACUGAAUCUGUCCCUAGAUGGUUUCUUUUCACCCAUGUGAAAUUUAUAAAUAGGGGUGGGGGAUGCAGACAAGCCUAUAAAGAAAGACCUCCAUAAAUCAAAUUCUGCAUUUUCUAAGUUGCUCAAGGAAUGAUUUACUGCAGAAAUGGUGAACAGAUGGAUUCCCACUGCCAUCCAUAGAUGAGUGUGGCAGACCAGUGUGGCUGCUGCUGUUUGUUCCCUUCCUUUCCCUCCUUUGGCUGCUGUUAUGUUGCUGCAUUGGGCAAUCAUGUUAUGUGAAAUGCAGUGUUGCACAUCAUCAUCACAGCAGUGUUGGUAUUUCCUAAAGGUCUUUGUCAUGAUGUUUGUCAGUGCCUGUUUUAAAAUGGCCCAGGCUCCUAGCUUGACCUUUAUAGUUUCUUUUUUUUUUUUUUUUUUUACAAGACACAGUUAUGUUUCAUGCAAGCCACAUAAUUCUUUGGGCUACUUGUAGUAGAUUUAGAAAGCAGAUGCUCCUUGAAUGCCCAACACAUGCAAUCCAUGGGCAAGAGCUAGUGAAGGGUGUUUAAAAGAGGCAGUGGUUCUUGUCACUGUGGGGUUUUCUUGUUCAUUAUCAACUUAGUCAGAAGAUAGGUCAGCAUUUUUCAAGGUGGAAAAAGGCUGAAGGAGGAUGGGCUGUGGCAGGAUGAGAUCUUGGCAGUAUUUACUUGGUGCAGAGUCACAGGGCCAAAAGGGACUUGGAGACAUCAGCUAGACAUUUUCCAAGGCAGGUUAAGCUUGGAAUGGGUGGAUGUGUGAGUGUUGAACUUGUCCUUAAAAGCCUCUAAUAGUGGAGAAUCAACCAUUUCCCAUGCUGUUUUUUCCAUGCUGUGUUUGACUGUCUUUUUGAGGAUGGUUUAUUCCCCCAGUGCCUAAGUACAAAAUUUUAGGGUAUAGGAGAAAAAGACAGUGACCUCAAAUGACAUUAGACAGAGGAGCAUUUCAGCUGUUUUUAUAAAUGCAACCUAAGAAAUAAUGGUCAGAUAAAAUCUGAGACAAGAUUUUCAAGGAGCCCCAGCCCAAAUUUGCUCACCACAGGACUCCUCCAUGCCUUUAAAAACCUCUUUCUUUGAAUGGUGUGUCAGGUUGAUGGUUAAUAGCCAUAUCAGAAAGGUUCAAAGAGACCUUUCUCCUCAUGCUGUGUUUUCUAUCCAGUAGAUGCCUUCUUUUUUUUUUUUUUUUUACAGAGUUCAGACAGUGAAAAAACAGCCAAACCAAAAAAUCCCUAGCCCCAAACUGACCCAGCUUGCUAGCCUUUUUCCUUGGUACCCUUUUAAGGCCAUCAAUAAAGCCAUAUUACGAGGAGGAAACCAAAGGAGAACAUAAUCCAUUUAUUUAGGCUUGUGCCAGCACAGCAAGAGGCUGGAGAGGCAGCAGGGGCCAGAGCCUGCCCUUGGCCUACAGCUGUCCUCUCCUGCUUCCUUUUGCCUUGGAAACAGCCUGACUAUCCUCUGCUGGGAUGCUGCUGGCACAGCAUCACCUGUGCUGGCAGCAAGGUCCCUGCCUGGGGUGGGAUGCAGCCUCUCCCUGGAAGAUGUGGGGAAAGCUGCAGUGGGAAAAGUGCAGUGGGAAAAGUGCAGUGCUGUGGGCAGUGCAGGCACCAGGACAUGCCCAGGUCUCUGCUUUGGGACAGGGACCCAUGGCUGUGCCUGCAAUUCUCUCUCCAGCUCCAAACCAGGACUAGUGGAAUAAUUUUGAAGCAGGACACUAAUGGAGUGUGUUACAAGAGCUGUGCACUCCCCUGUUUGUUACCUGUGCACCAGUUCAGUGAGGAGUCUCUGGGUGUCACACCAUGCUGAGAAUCCAUUGCUGGGGAAGCAAAGGGGACAGCACAUCCCUCAAGCUGGGCAGUGCUUCCUUUUCUGCCUGUUGUGGUUGAUCAGGAGGCUCUCAGGCUGGACUCAGGGCUUUGUCACGCUCAGCAGAAGCAGCAGGCUUGCAGGAAUGGGUCAGUAAAUCUCUUAGACCCUACAGGCACCAGGCAGAGAUCACCCCAGCCAUGCUGGCAUGUGCUGGGACCCUGCCCCAGACCCUGCAGCCCUGCUCUGCUGUGUGCCCACACCAAGCUGUGUGUGGGGAGGUGAUGGCAAAGCCCCCCAGCCCCCGUGGCAGCCGGCAGGUGCCUCCUGCAGGGCACAGCAGCCCUUUGUAGCCCCACACUGCCAUGGUCAGGGCCCCAGCCAUGCCCAGGGCUGCCAAGGCUGUGAGCACCAGCCCUGCAGAGCCCUGGCUGCAUGGCCAGGCAGGACACAAAGAGAGGCUUCCUAUAGAUCCUGCUCCAGGUGACAUCUGGCCUCAUUUAUGGACUUGGAUGGAUGGGGCACCCAGGUCUGUUCAGUCCCAGUAGGAGCCUUUGAUGAAAUCCCUGUACUGACCAAAGACUGACUCUGAAGGGCAGGAUCUCCACAGACAACCUCCUGCACAAGUUGGCGUCCUCCAAGCGUUGAGAGAGAAAAUAUUUAAUGGCUUAAAAAGGAAAAAGAGGCAAUGGAGCAGUUUAGAAAAUGCAAUUUCCUCAACAACUUUGUGAUUUGAAGAACUGGCGCUAUAAAAGGGGAAACCAAAUUUGUGGGAAGGAUGAAAUUAUUUUCCCCAAGCCCAAUAAUCACCCUGGCUUAAGCUAGGAGUUUUUGCUCCACAAACUGCCCCUGUUUUUGCUCCUGUUGUCACAAACUGUGAAACUAUGGUGCAUGCCUAUCAGGCUACACUGCAGUUGCAAAUUAACCAGUGUGUUCAGUAGUCCUCCUUUCACCAUCAAUGUAGUCUUCAGUGAUGCCUGGGGAAGGAAGAGGGUUUUCCUUCAUGUUUCACAGUGUUUCUCCUACUCUCAUAGACUCUUAAUCCUUCAUGGUUUUCUCAGUGCUGCUCAGCCCUGGGAACUCUACCUGGAAUAAGCAAAACAAGUUACAGUGGAGACAAAAGUGACAAAAAAUCAUUGAACUUUACAGCAGAUAACCCAGGGUAUGACUUCCAAAUUAUACCCGGUUACUCAGCAGUCAAAAACACAAGAGCAGCCAGUACAGAUGAAUAUUCACCUGAUUUUACAGUGUAAUUGCUUCUCACUUAAAAUUUGACCUUUUUUUUUCCUUUCCUCCCAGCAUAACCACGUGCUUCCUGCAUUUCCCUACUCUUCAGUAUCAGCAUGUGCUUUGAGUCCUGUAGAGUUGGAGAGGAAUUACUAACAGAACUGAAAAAUAACUCUGAUCCUCUUACCUUUGCAUGCACAAAAUUCUUAGCAAAAUACAAGAAAAAAAAAAAAGGCAUUUCUCUUGUGUUGUGCUUGCACAGUGUCAAUGGCAAAGCAAAGUCUAAGGGCAUAAAUAAGGUGAAAUGUUGCUCUGUGGUGAUGCAGAGACUGAAGGGACUGGGUUUUAAGCAGUGUCCCUCCACAUUGGCUUUUCUGAUAAAGGCAGAAGAAUUUGUAUCAUGCACCAAAAAGCUCAGCUUCCAGCUUUGUGUGCCCCUCUUCUUGUGGUACUUUCCACCUGUUCCCUGUGGGUACCUGGAUGAGACAAAGGAUACCUGUGCUCAGGUAGCUUCUGAUUCAGAUUGCUUCUGGGUUCACUUGAAAUCCCAGUCAGGAACUUUCCGUCUUUACUGUUUUGUAAUCAAAGAUGCAGAGGCUGCAAUUCAGCCAGGAUGUGUUUGCUGGGCUGAGAGCUCUUGGGUACAGCCCAUCCUUCCUUCCCUCCCACUGCAAACACAUCAGGGCAUCCUUCUUUUAAAUACCUACUUUUAAGCUCCCCUAUCAAAAUGUCAGAAUUAUUAGGGAAAAGUGUUUAUUGCCACACUUUCCUUGAUACAUGUGCUGUAUCAUAGAUGGCUUCUGCUGAGUGUGUGCUGGGUGCUUUUGGCAGAUGUUCAGUUUGCACUGGAGGCUGUUUGUGCCUGGCUGGGGGUGCAGGGGAGCAGAGUGGUCACUUGUGCAGGUGGGAUGAUGCUAGGUGACACAGGUUUGGCAGGAAAGGCAGCAGGCUGUGGGGGAUACCCUCAACACUGCUGGGGUACCUGGGGCAGAGCAGCUGAUUCCCACUGAUUUGGGAAGAGGAUUCUAGAAACCCUGAGGCAGGGAGCAUGUUGGGUGACACCUGUGUGGGCUGAGAGCAGAGUGAUACCACCUACAAGAGGGGCUCAUGCCUCCAUCCCUGUUUUUAGGGGAUACAUUGGAGCCUGCCUGCACAUGCCUGCUCCCACUUUGCCUUUGGGAGGGCACCCCAAGACACCAACAGGGAGCAGACUGGAAAAGGGUGAUGCAAAAGGCACCCUGGGCUUUGCUGGGCCUUGGUGGUGCUCCCUGCAAAUGUCUCUCCCUUUCUCAUCCCCUGCUGCAGUUUGGGCUUGGCUCCUGGGCAGGCAGCACUCUGCUCCCUGCCUGCUGUGGGGAGCACGAGGCUCACAUGGACCAAAAUGUGUCAAAAGCAUUUCCUCAAAUAGUCAGUUUUAAUUUUAAUAAGUCGUGUUUAGUAGCCUUAAGGACACUGGCUGUGUGAGAGGAAAGGAUUAUUAUGUCUGAAAACAAAGGGCUGCUGAGAGCUGGUGUGGGGUGAGAGGCAUCACAUCUUCCUUAAGAGAGAGGAGCCCUUGCCAUGUGGUUGGAAAGCGUGGUGGGAUUGACAGGGGAAGCACUUGGACUGAGAAAUCUUCUUUUAGAUUAAGCAACAAAAUUCUGCAUGCACAUACAGACUAGAUCUUCAUACCGCGGCAGGCUUUGACAGUGUACUGCAGCAUUAUUGCUAUUUAUAAUCCACAAUUACUAACACUAUAAUCCAGUAAAUUUAGUGGUAGCAAUUACAGCAACAUAAAUAGCAAUCCAGAUGACUAAAGGCAUUGCUGUCAAUGCAGGUGGCAGCUACAGCAUUAGAAAAAGAAGUUGGAGGGAUGAUACCAGGACUCGAUAUGUGAGCUUGGGUCUGCUAGUCUUUUAUAUACCAUUUUUAAUAUACUUCCUGAAAUGAAGCUUCAGAAAGGUACACUGCCUCUUUAAAAUUAGUCUAGGAACUACAGGUAGUUCACAUUAUUUUUAAAAUAAUAAAUCUCUAUAUAUAUCUAUAUUAAAAUAUAUAUGUAUACAUAAGUUGGCUAGCCUACCUUGUGGAAAGGCUGCAGCUAAACUAAGUCUGAGCUAAUAUUGUAUUACCAUGGUCCUCUGGUUUGUAGAUAGCCCUUCCUUAUUAGAUGAGGUUCUGUUCUUGCUCCACAGAAGGUGCCUGUGUAUAUAACUCCUUUGUAUUGCUUUCUGCAGAGUCCCUUAUAUAUUUCUUACUACUAAUGCUGUGUAGAAAAGGAAACCCAGAGAUUUUACUACUGAUAAUUAACCAUAUAAUGGCCAUUAGCAAAAUAAAGAUUUAGUUGUUUGGGAAACAGAUUAUUUAUAUUGUGUAUGGUUUAUUGCCUGAUAACUUGUUUGGUGACUGGAUAUUCUUUUCCUUCUCCUAGUCCUUUUCUGCUUUUUCCAGCUAUGGUGUUUACUCCUCACUUUGAUUAUCUAGCAGGCAAUAAAGUAUAUUGUAUGUUUUGAA
rnacentral:lncRNA from 1 species